AUUUAAGCGUUCAAAACUCGGGAAACCCCGGCGAUCGCCUGUGCUCGAGCGCACACACGGUCCCGCGCGCACUCAGCUCGCGCCCGCCCUUUCCCCCUCCUGAUUUGCUUCUGGGAAAACAAGUCUUAAGAGCCGCCGACUCGCCCGAAAGUCACGCUGCCUAAGCGGGAGUCCCUGGUAAGAAGCAGGCUAAACGCUCCCCUCCCCGCCCGCUGGUGGAGCUAUAUCCUCUGCGGCCUCUAGGAAGCGCUAGACACAUACAGUGUUUAUGAACAUCACCAAAUAGACGAUAGGGAUGGUGUUGACUUCUUCUAGAAGAGUUUAUCAUCCCAUUGCUGGCCACAAAGUGCUGAGGGUAAAAUGAAGACUGAGUAGAUGGAGUUGAAAACGGGGCUCAAGGCCUGAUUUCUCAUCAUAAGCUAAUAAAGAAUUAUCCUUUGAAGCUGGCAAAAUCGGCUUGACAGAGGCUGAGAAAGGAUGAGGCUCCUGAGUGAGACAGAGAAUAUGCUCAAAGACAAGAGACACUGCACAGUCUGCUGUGGGCAUCAGUGAGCGUGCACACAGGGGAUGCUUAGUUGGCAUCUGUCUUAGCUGUGUGCUGAUUAUUCUAUGAGUCCCCUUGGAGGCCACUGCCAUCACUCCCACUGUGAUUUAAACAGGAAUGUCCCUCAUUGGCUCUCACAUUGGAGCGCUUGGUUUCCAGCUGGUGGUGCUGUUUGGAAAGGUCACGGAGCCUUGAGGAGGUGGUGUCUUGUUGGAGUCACAAGGGUGAGCCUGGAGGUGGAGUCCUGUCUGUGCUCUGGAUUCUGACUGUAGAUCAGUGUGACUAUCUGCCCUGAGUUCCUGCUGCCAUGCCUUCCCUGCUGUGAUGGACUGUGAGCCAGAAGACACUCUUCAUCCUUAAGUAGCUGCUGCCACAGCAAUGCGAAAAAUAAAUCUACAACUGUUAAACUUGUCAGAACAGGAGCUGUGGGUGCCGUAGUGGGUAGACAGGUCAGCCUGACUUUUUUUUUUUUUCUGUUUCCUGUGAUCCAAAUGUGGUAUAGGACAAUUCUGUAUUCUGUUAAUUGUGUUUUAAAUAAAUACUGAUUGGCC